rnacentral:misc_RNA from 1 species
GAGAAUUUGAGAGAAGAAAAUUCCAGUUAAUUAUGACAAUUUAUAAAGUUCAGGGUUCAAUAUGCAAUGACACUGAUUUAUCAGUUCUCCACUUGCCUUCCUAUGAUGAGUAUGAAGGAAGGGAUCACUUACAAUACAAGGUAGGAAGUUUGAUUAAGCUUCCCUAUACACAUUCUUGGCAAAAUUUGCUGGAAUAUCCACAAACAUCGAGGAGUAGAGUACAAUGAAGUUUCUUUGGAAAUUCUCAGGAAUUUGUGAGAUAAAGCAGUACAUUCUGGAAAAAUAAUUCAUAAACAGAAGCACAACAACACGGUUAAAAUGGCGACCAAAUCAAGAGAUGCAUUCAGCUUGCAUUUAUAGAAACACAUGAUGGAAACAUGAAAGGUAUGGAAUUUUUUGGAGUCCUUGCAUUUAUCGUAAACAAAAUACAGAUUUGGCUUCAGAUACAUUAAAUUACCUGAUUUGAUACCAAGAUUUACAGUUCAUAGCAUGACCCAGGACCAAUAGGAGGUUGUCGGGCAUAAAAAUUUUCAACAGGAGCAGCUUGAACUCCACGCCUAUUCAAUAGGCAUCUGAAGUAGUGCAAGCGGGGUAAAGCCGUUAAGGUAAUAUUUCCAGAAGAU